rnacentral:lncRNA from 1 species
UAUAAUCCGGAAAAAUCGAUAAUCCGGAAUCGCCGAAGUCCCGACGAGUCCGGAUUAACGACUUUUGACUGUACUAUGUAAAAUUUCAUAAAUUGGAUUUUGUAUUGUUUUACAAAAUACAUACUUGAACAAACAAAUAGUUGAUAAUAUAAAUAUGUAGCUUUACAGUUAUUUAAAGGAAAUUUGCUUCAAAAUCCUGGUCCCUCAUUUUUUGGAUUAAUUGAUUUUAAGAAAUUGCAUAUCUUCUUUUGAAUUGCAUUUAAUUUCUUUCGUUGUUAAAUCCCUUAGAUGUCUUUAAUGUUUAUUAUAUUCCAAUCUGUUAUUUUCCCCCUCCACAUACUUAGUUGAUUAAAUGUUCUUUCACUUCCUCUUUACUAUGAGUUAUUCCUUCGAAUGUCUACUUUAUUUAAAAUUUGAUAAUCUCUGACCUUUUUAUUCAUUCCCCCAGAAAGUAAUGAAAGUUCAGUUUUCCAUAUCUUCUUUAGUAAACUCUUUCAGACUACUCUUUACUAUUUUUAUAAUUUAGUUUUACAGAAAUUAAUAUUAUUUCAUAAGUUUUUUGCACCUGUCCUGUGUCUAUUUUUCUUUGCAGAAAACUUGAGUGAUUAUUUUCAUGUCAGUUGUAAAGCAAGCUAGUAAGAUAAGUUAAAUUCAAGUUACAUUAGUAGGUUAAAUUCAAGGUUUGAAUUCGAGUAAGUUAAAUAUAAGGCUAGUAAUUUCUGCCAAAGUGGUUAAAACCAGCAACCAUAAAAAUGGCAGAAAUUUACGAAAUAAAUAAAAACUGAAUGAAGUAUUGCAAGUUGUAGGGAGGAACAUAUUUUAAAAUAAAUUCAGCUACAUUGUUUACAAUAUUCAAAAUAUAUGCAAUGAUCGUUAAAAGAUGCACAUCUAAAUUCAAUUGCAGUAUGAUCUUUUUUAAGAAAUGGUCUGUAGAAGAUGACUAAUUUAGCUGCUAUUCCAAACACCAAAAUAUUUUUCAGUUUAUUGUGAAUAAUAAAAAAGCUGAAGAAUAUUCUUUCAAGUGCUGAGAAAGCUAGAUUUAUAUAUAUAUAUUUAUGUUUGAACAAAACCAACCUGCAGCAGCUGAAACAUUUUGUAAAAUUUCAUGGAGAAAUAUGUAGAAAAAGGGGAUUUUUCUGUUUGAAAAGCUAUGAAGCUAUAAUAUAUGAGGUUUAUGUCUUGUCAUGUCCUUGCUGCUCAUUUAGACUACUAUGUGUUUUGGACAUUGAGGUAAGAAUAAAAGGAGAUGCCAUCCCCACACAACCCCUGAUGCAGUGCUGCCAAGCUUUGGUCUCCAAAGCGGUUGUAUUUUCUUUAUAUCCAGAGCAUGUUGACAGUAGUUUAGUGGUACUGCCACCCACGAUAGUUCCACACAAAUCGAAAAGCGGCGACACUUCUGCAUGAAAGAAAUAUGUUGGAUGGAUAAUGGCUAUUUGUAUAGUUUAGGGGCACUCAUGCAAAAAAUCUUAGUUAUUUUUUGAACUUGCAGCAGCAAUUUUGAUUAUGAAUUUGCUUUAUAAAUUUCUAAGGAACUAGAUGACAAAAAUAUAUAUUUUAGCAAAAUGUUUGUUAUGUUUGAAGAAUGAUAAUACCUUAAGAUAAUACCUUUAAAAUGUCAAAAUGAUAAUACCUUUAAAAUAAUGAUAAUACCUUUAAAAUGUCAAAAUAUCGCAAAAAUAUAACAUACUUUAAAGCUCAGUUUCCUUAUAACUGACUGGUAUAAGUGUAAAAAUUUUAAUACUUAUUUUGAUGCCCUUGAUAGUAUAUUUGCUACUUUUCUUUUAUGUUCUAAAUAUCAGAAUAUUUUAAAGAAAAUGUUUUUCAUCAUCAACAUAAUACUGUAAUAUCCACUUUUUAAACAUUUUUAGGGUAGAAACAUAAUAAUUGCUUAUUUUAAUCUUAUCAUUUUAUUUUUGUAUAAUUGAAAAAUAAUCACUUUGGGUUUAUUUAUCUUAAAUGAAAUUACCUCCUAAUCCUGCAGUCCUUGUAAAAGUUAAUAAAUAUAUAGACAGAUAUGCUAACAAGUUAACUUUUCCUUCAUUUGUAACCAUGUAAUUGUGUAACAUUGUAUACAGGAACAUUUGCCAAUUCAGUGAAAAUAUAGUGUGCAGUCAAGGUGAUUUGACUGUGCCACAUCAUCAUGACAACUUAUAAGGAAUUUGAAAAUAGGGCGAUGCCAUUACUAUUAACCAGGAUAUCAAUACAUUUUGGAUUACCUUGCAGUAUGUAAAUUUCAGUUUCAUUGAAGAAAGUGAAUGAUGAAAGAGUGAUUUCAUGUUAUAGUAUUAGAUCACCAAAUUUGAGAGAUCUUCCUCUGUUCUGUAGUCAGAACUGUAUUUAUGUAGUAUGCAAUAAAACUUUCAUAAUGAAGAAAGAAUUGAAAAGGCAUUUAAAUCUUCGUACAGGAAAGCAUUUGUUUGCACUGUAUGUAAAAAGUUAUGCGCAAAAAGGAACUCUCAAGAAUCACAUGAGAAGGCAUAGUGGAGAAUGUCCAUGUUAAUGCUACAUUUUGCCCUGAAGUGUGUACUCACUUUAUUACACUUCACUAUCAUCUUUAGCCCAUAUGAAAUAAUAAAGAAUCUGCUAAAGGAGCAGAGAAAGGGCAAUUGUCAUAGAAUAUUUAAUACUUCAUUAAAGACGAUGAAAGAAAGUCAGACAGUGUGUGAUAAAAACAUCUUUUCAUUCUCCAGUACUAUUGCAGCUUCCUCCAGUGAACUUACUCAUCUUUACACUUUGCAUUUUUGUCAUAUAUGCAAUAAAUCUU